rnacentral:rRNA from 1 species
UACGUAGGGCGCAAGCGUUAUCCGGAAUUAUUGGGCGUAAAGAGCUCGUAGGCGGCCUGUUGCGUCCGCUGUGAAAUCCCGGGGCUCAACCCUGGGCGUGCAGUGGAUACGGGCAGGCUGGAGGCAGGCAGGGGAGAACGGAAUUCCCGGUGUAGCGGUGAAAUGCGCAGAUAUCGGGAGGAACACCGGUGGCGAAAGCGGCUCUCUGGAACGGUACUGACGCUGAGACGCGAAAGCGUGGGGAGCGAACAGG